CUGGGCCGCGGGAUGUCGCGGCGCGAUUCAGCGCCUUGGCGCACUACCCGACUCACAGGACAGUGGACAGGUCCUUUCCCCUGCCUAACGUUGUAUCUGAGGAUUUUUAAAUCAAAGGGCUACAAGCACAUACCCCGGCCCAAACUCUCAGUGGCUGCACCAGCUUAAAUCCCCGUGAUGGUGAUUACUUCUUAGAUGUGCCCAUGGGCUCCUCGGGUGAUACUGGUGAGGACUCCAACACUAAGCAGUCUGACUGAAUGUCUACAACCUCGCCAGGCAACAAUUUCAACAGAAAAACUGUUUAUAGAUCACCUCUUCUGGGCAAGGCUGAGAGUAUUUUGACAUAUAAACUGGAUUCCCUACAGUCAAGGAAUUGACCACCUAGUUGGGAAGAUUGUGGCAGAAAUAAAUGUACAUAACAACAUCAAGUUGCAAGCAUCAAUGUCAAGCACACAGGAGAGGCUUUUAAUGAUGUUUCAGACCCCAAAGCAGUCAUUGAAGGUUGGAACAUUGGAGAACACUUGUCAACAAGGAAUGUGACGGAGGAAGGACUCUAGGGGAAAAGGCCUCGUCUGCCAAAGAAGAAGAAUAAUAACAAAGAUGACAGUAGGAAUAAAAUAUUGCCCUCUUCAUCAAGGGUGAUAAGGAAGUAUCCAGUUACAUGUGUUGAGCCUUCUCACUCUCCAUAUACAUAUGUUAGAACUUCAGAAUUUAGCUCAGGUUUGAUUUGAACUUUCUGUCCUGUGGUCGUCUUGAGUGUACUGAACAAAUUGGGCUACAUGUCUCACCUUUGGUUUCAGAAAAUAGGACCCCAAUUACAGCACUUCAUGUUGACAUAGUACCUUAAAUGUCUGAGUAUGAACCUCUUUCCUGGAGGGUGUGUCUGUGAAAUGUGUGCCCCCAGUGCCUGGCAUGGGGCCUAGCCUUUGGAAACUGGGGCAGAGGGACUGUGAUAUAAAUGGGUGAGGCAGGGAGUCCUCCAGCUCCCUCUCUCUUGGCUGAGGAGUGGGAUGAACCCCGGAUGACUGCAUGAACCUUCCCUUCCCCUUGGUGCUCCUGGGGCAGGGACAGGAAGAGUUUUAUGCAGGGAGAAACCCCAAUAAGACUCAGACUCUCUGUUGAUUUCUGCAAACUCCUCGUGUUCCAAGGGAAUCAUUUGCCCACUUCUGGGCCAGCUGUAUAUGAGUUUGCUCUCUCCCCUCCUAAGGGGAGGUCCAUGUUACCUGAAGAAACUUAAACUUUUGCUAUUUCUAUUAAACUUCCCUUUUUGGUUAAGAAGGUGAUGAGGUAGAAGAAUGUCCCUGCCCUGAUCACUCUUCCAAUCUUCCUUGAUUCAGAUAUACAGAUACUUUUUCUCCUCCUCCUCUCCUGCUCCUUCUCCUUGUUCCUCUGUUCUGCAGACUAACUUCCCAAAGCUGAGGGGAAUAAGGAGAGGUGAAUCCAGUCUGUUCCUAGAGGAGCCCUCCUCCACUACGUUAAACAAAUUUUCACUCUGCUGAAUAACUUUCAAUAGCUCCCUAUUGUCAUCAAUUUACAUUUCUAACAUUAAAGCCCAACUUUAAUAUGAGCUGUCUUGAACUUUGUUCUUUGUGAUUUCCCAAUGCUCUCUCCCCGGAGUCAACUGGCCUUCCCAAUGUAUUCACUUAGAGGAGAUGAGUGGUUGGAGACGCAUUUGAGGCAAAACCAACAACUAAAAGGUAAGCAGAGGAUGAGACAAGCAGGAAAGGAGGCAGGAGAGGUAAAGGUUGAUGGGAUAUAAAAGGUCUUGAGGGACAUUAGUAUGAUGAUUUGGGGCUCAAGACUUUGGGCUGUAUUAUUAGAUUGGGAGGAGGCCAUUGAAAGAUUUCAGGUGGGGUCAAAUCCAGCUUUUAGAAUGAUAGCUCUGGGGCUAUGUAGAAAAGGGAACUGCAGUGAGGGGGUUUGGAAAAGUGCCAGAGACCCCUGCUGACUUUGGUGUCAUUGGUGGAUAGGGUCUGCAGAACAGACUUUCUGUGCUCAGAAGACACAGCCAUGUAUGGAGGCAGGGGCAUGGAUGAAAUGACCUUAGGCACCCUCCUCCUGGUGGGAGGGAAGAGUGGGGUUCCAGUUUCAUCUCUGAGUAGGUUUCAGUUUAUUUCCACAUGUUGUCUCCUUUGGGUCAAAGCCCUUUUAGGAAGGCCAAGGGGAAAGGUCCCCGGGGAGGGCAGAGUACCACUUCCUCUUUUUCAGGCAGGAAAGGCAGACAAAAGUGGACAAUGGACCAGAGAGGGUGCGUCCAGCAGAGAAGGAGGGAGGAGCCGGAGGAGCUGGCCCAGGGCAGGAGGCCUUAGAAGAUUCCCUUUGAUCCCCCUUAUCUCUGGAGGGCAAGCUUGCUUAUUUGGCCAGUGGGGCCUUUUGUUACAGCAUUUCCUGGAGCCCCCCAAAGUAAACACAACCAAGUCUGUGUUCUUACAGCUCUACUGUGUCUGCUCCUUCCAACAGAGAGAAAGGGCAGGCGGGUCAACCCUCAGAAGUCACCCCUACUCAUCAGAAUGCUGACAAUAAAGAUGCCCGUUACAGUGCAUUAGCACCACGCCUGAGAGACAACUGUGAUGGCCACGAAGUGCUGAACCACCAUCAUAAUCAUCAUCAUCAACUGCACAACUGGGGCUUUCUAAAAUCUAAGGUUUAGAUCUAUGGAGUAAUAAAACAGGAACAAUGGAAAGGCCUGUGAACACCCUCUUUGAUGGAGGUGGGAAGCUAUAGUCAUCAAUAAGUCUACUGAACUGAGGUACUUGCAGUGCCCAUGAGACCUGGAGUCUGGUGUGGCAGGAGUCAGUUUUCCCUUUUCUGUUCAAAUGGUGCUUGUGCCCCUGGAAGAAAGGGGUGGAAAGGCUAGUUACUGCUGGGCUGGCUCUCAGUUGCAAUAGGGGAUGGGUGAUACAUGAAAUUGAACUGGAAUCUGGUAAUUUUUUUUGCCAGCAAAAGUCUGUCCAGUCAAAGAUACGGUUUUUCCAGUGGUCAUGUAUGGAUGUGAGAGUUGGACCAUAAAGAAAGCUGAGUGCCGAAGAAUUGAU